GAUGAACGCUGGCGGCGUGCCUAACACAUGCAAGUCGAGCGAUUCUCUUCGGAGAAGAGCGGCGGACGGGUGAGUAACGCGUGGGUAACCUGCCCUGUACACACGGAUAACAUACCGAAAGGUAUGCUAAUACGAGAUAAUAUGCUCUUAUCGCAUGGUAGAAGUAUCAAAGCUCCGGCGGUACAGGAUGGACCCGCGUCUGAUUAGCUAGUUGGUAAGGUAACGGCUUACCAAGGCGACGAUCAGUAGCCGACCUGAGAGGGUGAUCGGCCACAUUGGAACUGAGACGCGGUCCAAACUCCUGCGGAAGGCAGCAGUGGGGAAUAUUGCACAAUGGGCGAAAGCCUGAUGCAGCAACGCCGCGUGAUCGAUGAAGGCCUUCGGGUCGUAAAGCUCUGUCCUCAAGGAAGAUAAUGACGGUGCUUGAGGAGGAAGCCCCGGCUAACUACGUGCCAGCCGCCGCCGUAA
rnacentral:rRNA from 1 species